CCUACGGGAGGCAGCAGUGAGGAAUAUUGGUCAAUGGGCGGGAGCCUGAACCAGCCAAGUCGCGUGAGGGAAGACGGUCCUAUGGAUUGUAAACCUCUUUAGGCGGGGAGCAAUGCCGGGCACGUGUGCCCGGAGGGAGAGUACCCGCAGAAUAAGCAUCGGCUAACUCCGUGCCAGCAGCCGCGGUAAUACGGAGGAUGCGAGCUUUAUCCGGAUUUUUUGGGUUUAAAGGGUGCGUAGGCGGAUUUUUAAGUCAGCGGUAAAAUGUGCGGGCUCAACCCGGGCCGGCCGUUGAAACUGGGGAUCUUGAGUGGGCGAGAAGUAUGCGGAAUGCGUGGUGUAGCGGUGAAAUGCAUAGAUAUCACGCAGAACUCCGAUUGCGAAGGCAGCAUACCGGCGCCCGACUGACGCUGAGGCACGAAAGCGUGGGGAUCGAACAGGAUUAGAUACCCCAGUAGUC
rnacentral:rRNA from 1 species